GUUUGACCUGCCCGCUGAUUUAUAUUUGAAGGGCCGCAGUAAUUUGACUGUGCAAAGGUAGCAUAAUCAUUAGUUUUUUAAUUAAAAGCUUGUAUGAAGGGUUGGACGAGGUAAAUUCUGUCUCUAUUUAAUUUAUUAUAGAAUUUAAUUUUUAAGUUAAAAAGCUUAAAUUUGAUUAAAAGACGAGAAGACCCUAUAGAUCUUUAUAUUAUUUUUAUUAAUCUUAAUUAAGAUUAUUUAAUUUUUUAAUAAAUUUAAUAUUUUAUUGGGGUAAUAAAAAGAUUAGAUUAAUUCUUUUUUUUUAAAUUUACAUUAAUAAAUGAGUUUAUGAUCCAAUAUUAUUGAUUAAAAGAUUAAGUUACCUUAGGGAUAACAGCGUAAUAUUUUUAGAGAGUUCAUAUCGAUAAAAAAGUUUGCGACCUCGAUGUUGGAUUAAAAAUUAUUUUAGGUGUAGAAGCUUAAAAUUUUGGUCUGUUCGACCAUUAAAUUUUU
rnacentral:rRNA from 1 species